GAGCAAAACAUUUGCUAUUAUAUAAUUGGAAAUACAGGUAAUUUUUAAUAAAGUUAAUAGAACUUAGCAUUUAUAUAGUGCUUUUUUAUCUUCAGAGACUUUUAAAGAUUUUAAUUAAACCUCACAAGACUCCUGGGAGGUAGAUACUAUUCCCAUAUAAAAAUGGGAGACUCAGACUGAGAAGAAAUGUCCUGGACAGUGCUAUAGAGGGAGUCUGGGUUAGAGCCAGGAUUAGAACUCAGAAGUCUGAGACUCCAAAUUCAAUGCUCAGACCAUAUCUCUGUCAUUAUACCAAAAAUGUAAUUCAACUAAAAUAUGUCUAUAAAAUGUGCAUAUUGACUGUCUAUUUCCUCUUCUUCCUAGGUUGCUUGUCCUCUUAAGCGCAGUUCAUGUAAAGACUUACAUGCAAAAUUACUUUACAUAUCCCAUAGUCCCACUGAAGUCACUGAACUACUCACAUGUUUAAAGACUUGCUUGUAUGCUCAACUUCAAGUAUGUAAGUAGUCUAAAUCACUUAUAUGGGACUAUUCACAUAGUGAAAUCCUGGCUCUACUAAAGUCAACAGUACUUUGCCAUUGACUUUAGUAGAGCCAGGAUUUCACACACAAUAUAUAAAGCUAUGUGUAGUCUUUGCAAGAUCAGAGCUUAAGUUUGUACUGUGCGAACAUAAGAGGUCCUUGAUCCUGAUCAGACUUUUGGUAGUAUCACAACAAAUAUUAAAUAAUUAAUUAACUGUCCUAUGGUCUAAAUGCGUUUCCAUUGCGCACAAGAUGAUAUUUACUAAAUCGGAGUUUAACCAUAAAUGUAAAUUUCAGUAUGCAGUGCAGCUUUAAAGAAAAAAUAUUUAUGGGUUUUAAAUGAUGAAAUUGCAGUCAGACAUUUGAAAUUUAGUAUAAGGUGCCUUCCAAAAGCAUUUAUUUAUAUAGCUGAAACUUCUUAUAUAAACUACUGUGAUUAUCUUCCCCUCCUUGUUUUCAAAAGCCAUUUGCAAGAUACGCAAAAUAUAAAUUCAGUGUAUCCUUACCACUUUUAUUAACGUGCCUAUGUUUCACCUUUAAAAAAAAUACAUUUGUAGAAUGUUUGAUUGUGGGAAUUGUACAAUAUUGUAAUUUUAAAACAGAAAAAAAUGUUCAAAUAUUUCAUUUACCCUUUAUGCCAGAACCUUGCCACUAGAUGGCAUAUAUUCAUUAUUUUACUCAUAUGGAUAAAACAAGGCUAAGACAACAAUUAGGAGAAUGUGGGAACACAAGUGAACAAUGGAAUUUCCCAAUAAAGUGUAUUCUACAUUUAAUUUACCCUUUACAUAAGGUUUUUCCAUUCAUACAUGUCCAUAUUUCCUCGCAGGUUUGAAUAAUGAACAUACAGGAAUCAUAAACUGUAGUAAAAGUUAAUCUUCACCACCAAUGCAGUUUUAUAACUUCAGGUUCUUGGAGAAUAUGAAGCAAGGAAAUUGUACAUAGGAUGGCACUACCAACGCCAAGCUCCGUACUGCAAGUUUCUUAACAAACAAGAACUGCUGAACUAAGCCCUUAUAAGGUCAGAUUAUUCUCCAUGAUCUGUUUUUCUGAGACUGUUGGAAAGGACUGAAUGGACAUGGAGAUUAAACUACCCUAACAGGUGCUGUGUCCAGGUUGCGUGGGUCAAGUUACAGUGCCAUCUGACAAUGAUAAAGAAUCGUAGAAAGAGUCACUUUUAACACUGAACAAGGAAUUUUAUUAGCAAAACCUAUUAUUCCCAAGGCUACUCCAUCUCUCUCUGCAAUAUUCAAGAGUAUCUGCCUACAACUUUCCCCAUACUCCCACUGAUUGGCUUCCUGCAGUGUUUUUAAAAACAUAGGAUACAUACCUUCACAAAGGGUUAUGUAAAAACUCUUUUGCUUUACUUAUGAAGCCAUGGUGCAGUGCUGCCAACUCUCACUAUUUUAUCAUGACUCAUAAUAUUUAGUGUUAUUCUUAAACAUCCAACUCCUGGAGUCAUACAAAUAUGCGAGAACUUGAGUUUUCA